UACGGGGGGAGCAAGCGUUGUUCGGAUUUACUGGGCGUAAAGGGCGCGUAGGCGGUCAGCACAAGUCAGUUGUGAAAUCUCCGGGCUUAACUCGGAAAGGUCAACUGAUACUGUGCGACUAGAGUGCGGAAGGGGCAACUGGAAUUCUCGGUGUAGCGGUGAAAUGCGUAGAUAUCGAGAGGAACACCGGUGGCGAAGGCGGGUCUCUGGGCCGAUACUGACGCUGAGGAACGAAAGCGUGGGGAGCAAACAGG
rnacentral:rRNA from 1 species